AUAGGGAUCUUCAUUCCUAUUGGUCGAAGGACAUGCCUAAUGGACUUCAAGGAGGGUGCCCGAGGCCUUAUUAGGAAUCACGGUUUUUUUUUCGAGGUUAUUUGAGUUUUAGAGGCUAAGAUUGGCAAGUUUAGGAUUUUGGGUAUAAUUUAGAUGAAGAAUUUGGAUGAUUUUGAGUUUUUGUGAAGGAGAUAUAAGUAUUCAAAGUUAAGGUAUCAAAUUUGUAUCUACUGUCACUCUUUGGAGCAUAACAUAUACGUAUGGAGAGCAAUAAAAGAUCAGCGAUUGGAGUUGGAGAGAACACUUUCUUAGCUACACUUUAUAUAUACUAUUUGACAAAUUCCAAGUUUGGAUGAAGGAGUUAUAGGGCAUUGAAGACAGCACAUGUAAUUCAAAGGCAGUAAUUGAGUCAUUUUGUUGAUAGUAAUGGUUGGAGCCAUAUCUUGAGUUUCUGAACAAAUUUUUGGCUCAAAAUUUCCAUAAGUAUGAUUUAUUAGGUUAAAAAGCUAUAAAUAAAAAUUUUAUGGUAUUUGAGUACUUAUUUUUGUGAGAUAUUAAG
rnacentral:lncRNA from 1 species